GGAGAGACAACCUCAGGGACGCUAGCUGCUUAACUGAACAUGAAACCGAACCUGGGGUUUCUCUUUUGAUGGUUGCUGCAUGUUAAGGAGUUCAUAUGAGGUCUUCUGGAAGAAUUUGUGAAGAUAUACCCUGUUGAUUAUGUGACACGCAGUAUCAAUAGCCUCAGACCAGAAGCGAUGAGGCGUCUUGUAUUCAUCAAGCAUAGUGCGAGCCAUCUCAACAAUAGUCCUGUUCUUGCGCUCCACAACGCCAUUCUGCUAAGGAGUGUAUGGGUCAGAUAACUCAUGAGUAAUACUAAGUUCAUCAAGAUAGUCAUCAAGACCAGUGUUUUUGAACUCGGUCCCAUUGUCACUCCGGAUAUGCUUGAUCUUCACAUGGAAAUUCGUCGAGGCCCUUGAGGAAAAUCGUUUGAAGACUUCCUACACUUUAGUUUUGUACAUGAUGAUAUGCGUCCAGGUGUAAUGAGAAUAAUCGCCAACAAUAACAAAGCCGUAUAGAGAUGCUGCA